GAUGAACGCUGGCGGCGUGCCUAAUACAUGCCAGUCGAGCGAACGGACGAGAAGCUUGCUUCUCUGAUGUUAGCGGCGGACGGGUGAGUAACACGUGGAUAACCUACCUAUAAGACUGGGAUAACUUCGGGAAACCGGAGCUAAUACCGGAUAAUAUUUUGAACCGCAUGGUUCAAAAGUGAAAGACGGUCUUGCUGUCACUUAUAGAUGGAUCCGCGCUGCAUUAGCUAGUUGGUAAGGUAACGGCUUACCAAGGCAACGAUGCAUAGCCGACCUGAGAGGGUGAUCGGCCACACUGGAACUGAGACACGGUCCAGACUCCGACGGGAGGCAGCAGUAGGGAAUCUUCCGCAAUGGGCGAAAGCCUGACGGAGCAACGCCGCGUGAGUGAUGAAGGUCUUCGGAUCGUAAAACUCUGUUAUUAGGGAAGAACAUAUGUGUAAGUAACUGUGCACAUCUUGACGGUACCUAAUCAGAAAGCCACGGCUAACUACGUG
rnacentral:rRNA from 1 species